CCCUUUCUCUCCUCCCAGGCAUGCCCAGCAUGCCCCUCUCUCUCUCCUCCCUAGAAGGACGAUAACUUCAGCAUGUGUUUCAGGGUGAACCACCUCGGUCAUUACCUCCUGACCAACCUGCUACUGGGUCGUCAGAAGGAUUCAGUCCCCAGCCUGCUACUGGGUCGUCAGAAGGAUUCGGCCCCCAACCUGCUACUGGGUCGUCUGAAGAAUUCAGCCCCCAACCUGCUACUGGGUUGUCGAAAGAAUUCGGCCCCCAGGCUACUACUGGGUCGUCUGAAGGAUUCGGGGCCCCCAGCCUGCUCCAGGGUCGUCUGAAGGAUUCGGCACCCAGCCUGCUCCAGGGUCAUCUGAAGGAUUAGGCCCGCAGCCUGCCCCUGGGUCGUCUGAAGGAUUUGGCCCUCAGCUGUGUGGUCACGCCCACCUGUUACAACUACAAGUAUCGGAAUAGGCCCACCCACUGGGGAGCCGGGCCCAGGCCCUCCGAAUGAGUUUUUCCCCACAAAAAAGGCUUUAUUACAGAUAUCAAUUCUGUUCAGUUUCAUCAGUUGUCCUGGUGGCUGGUCUCAGACGAUUCCGCAGGUGUAGAAGCCGAGUGUGGAGGUGCUGGGCUGGCGUGAUUACACGUGGUCUGUGGUUGUGAGGCCGGUUGGACGUAUUGCUAAAUUCUCUAAAACGAGAUUGGAGGUGGCUUAUGGUAGAAAAAUGUGCAUUAAAUUCUCUGGCAAUAGCUCUGGUGGACAUUCCUGCAGUCAGUGUGCCAAUUGCACACUCCCUCAACUUGAGACAUUAGUAACCGGAAGGUUGCAAGAUCGAAUCCCUGAGCUGACAAGAGCAGCUGGAUCUACUACUACUACGCCAUCCUGUUUCGUAUGUUGAUGCCAUGUGAGACGGGCGUCUCAGACCAUUGUGUACUGCGCCGUGUCGGACGAGGCCGCCAAGCACAAUGGGGGAUACUUCACUGACUGCUGGCCAGCCACGCUGAGACCGCUCGCCAGGGACACUGGCAUGGCCAAGAAACUGCGUGAGGCCAGCAAGAGGCUGGUCAAACUGGCCGGAGAAACUGGAAUGAUUAAAUUAAACUGAAGCUUUGGAAGCAAACAAUGUGUGGGAAUCUCAUAUUUUGGUCAAACAAGCCCAAAAAAUUGUUUUUGUUUUGUUCUUAAUAAUUUGUUGGUUUUGAAUUUGUCUUCGGGGGACUUAAUUCACUAUAAUGUCAGGUUUUUUUUAUGGAUUAUUGAACAUUUUAUGGUUUGCCCUUGGAUUGUUGACCUCAAACACUUGAAUGAUGAAUGAUGACAUGUAAAACAUGGCUGCUUUUCCUUCUGUUGUAAAUAACCUCUGAAAAGAAAUUCUGUGGCAAUACAAUGCUGUGUGAUGUCUUAUUAGGAUAGUGGUAUGGUUUACCUCCAUGAGUAUUCAGAGGAUGGAGGUUUAGACAACACAGACAACCAGGGGUGGGACACUUAAAGUCAAUGAUUAAAACCUUUUAACAAAUUCCAAAAUCUAACAGCACCAUCUACAGGAAACAAGCAGGUGCUGGAAUGUAUAUUUUGUUGACCUGAGAUAGCAAUAAGUGGAAAGGAAAGUAAAUGUUUAACAUUGCUUAUGAGAGCCGAGUCACCAUUACAGGGUGUGGACAUUACAGAGACGUCCCCCGAUCAACUGGAAUAAUCACAUUUCUUAUUUCAUUUGACUUGAUGUUUCACUUCAUGUUAGUUAUGGAAAGUGGUGGUUGUUCUAGUGACGCUUGAUACGUUUUUUGUUUGUUUUGAAAAUCAUAGUAUACUUGUCACGUUCUGACCUUAGUUCUGUUAUAUCCGUGUUUUAGUAUGGUCAGAGCAUGAGUUGGGUGAGUUGUCUAUGUUAGUUUUUCUAUGAUUUGGUAUUUCUGUGUUCGGCCUAGUAUGAUUCUCAAUCAGAGGCAGCUGUCAAUCGUUGUCCCUGAUUGAGAAUCAUACUUAGAUAGCCUGGUUUCACUUUUGAGUUGUGGGUGUUUGUUUUCCGUGUCAGUGUUUGUUACCACACGGGACUGUUUUGUUUGUUCACUUCGUUUAUUGUUUUG
ensembl:lncRNA